CUUAUUAUAUUUAUUUUAACAUUGAUCUAUAUGUAUAUUUUUGUAUUGUUUUUAUUUCUAAAGGAAAUCUAAAGGUGGUUUUGCAGUAGAUAAUUUUAUUUAUAUUAAGGUGUUUUAGAUUUGGUAAAUGUUAAUUAGAAUUGGUUAAAAUUGUGCCAGCAUCCGCGGUUAUACAAUAAAUUCAAAUAAAUAUUAUUAGUUUUGAAGUAAUUAUUAUUUUGGGUUUAAUAUUAAUUAAGAUAUUUAAGGGUGAAAUAAAUUAAUAUUUUAGGGUUAUUAAAUGUAGAAGUAAGAAUGAAUUGCGAAAUUGAAGAUGUAAACUAGGAUUAGAUACCCUAUUAUUUUUAUUGUAAAACAUUUAAACUUGAGUAUUAGUAGAUAUGAUCUUGAAACUUAAAGAAUUUGGCGGUAUUAUAGUCUAUUUAGAGGAAUCUGUUAUGUAAUCGAUAGUCCGCGCUGAAUCUUACUUAUAUUAUUAUCUUGUAUACCGCUGUUUAUGAAUAUAUUUUUAGGUUAUUUUCUAGAUGUGCUAAUAAAAAGAAUUUCAAGUCAAGGUGCAGUAAAUAUAUAAGUUAAAUAAUGGAUUACAUUAAAAUGUAUUUAUUACGGAUAAUUACUUUAAAAUUAUUUGAAGGUGGAUUUAAUUGUAAUUUUAUUUAGAUUGUUAAAAUGAUUUAUAGCUCUAUAAUAUGUACACAUCGCCCGUCACUCUCAUUAUUAAGGUGAGAUAAGUCGUAACAAAGUAGRUGUAUCGGAAGAUGUUCCUAGAAAGAAUUUAAUAAACAGGUUAAGCUUAAAGUUAAGAUUUUCAUUUACACUGAAAUUAUUUAUCGUGCGAUUCGA
rnacentral:rRNA from 1 species